AAAGUUAAUCAGAUGGUCGCGGAAGUAAGAACCGAAAGGUUGCUUCUGAGGAAAGUCCGGGCUCCAUAGGGCAAGGUGCUGGGUAACGCCCAGUGGGAGAAAUCCUAAGGACAGUGCAACAGAGAUAUACCGCCAAACAGCGGCCGGUCCGAUGACUGACUGAGCGUUUGGUAAGGGUGGAAAGGCGAGGUAAGAGCUCACCGGCAGCCUGGUGACAGGCUGGCCCUGCAAACCCCACUUGGAGCAAGACCGAAUAGGGAGACUAUAAAACGGCCCGUUUUUGUCUCCGGGUAAGGUCGCUUGAGGCCGUUGGUAACAACGGUCCCAGAUAGAUGAUCAUCACCUUCUGAAAGGAAGGAACAGAACCCGGCUUAUAGAUUGGCUUUGCAU
rfam:Desulfitobacterium hafniense Y51 DNA, complete genome.